GCAAACAAUACAGCAAUUUUUACACAAUAGUUGGGUUAAAUAAAACUACCCAGCAGGUUGGGCAAACAUUUAACCCAACCGCUGGGUUUGUCCAUUUUCAACCCAAUUUGGGUUGUUUUUAACCAAACAUUUUUAGAGAGUAAUAAUAGUUGCAACUUGCACUCUUAAAUGUGCAUUGAAAAUUGCCAGCUGAUAAAAUAUGCUCCAGGGACCAUAUUCAUAUAACAUCUCAGGCUAUCUUAAGUGGCUGAGUUAGAUGGUGAUUGACACUAAACAGUAGAAAAUCAGUCCAGAGUCUCUUCAGCUGUAAAUGCCAUUGGCUGGUAAAGUCUUUUGUUGAUUAUAAUAAAUUGACAUGCUGAUAAAACACACAUAAGCAGUCUUUCAGAAUGCUCUCAAUUACAUAUAGCCUAGAUCAGUUGCAUACUAUAUGCAUUAGUGAGUGUGGCGGUGCUUAUGGGGUGUCGCUCUGGGACAGGCAAGUAUGAGGCUGGGAGGGAAAAAUCACAGUAUACUCACUACAAAAAACUAGACUACACCACUGGUUAACAUUGCCAAAAUUAGCUGACGUAAAGUUAAACUUACUAAACACAGCAGCAUAAUUACUUGUCCCGCUGCCUCUUUAUCACAGGUUAGCUAUCUAGGCAGGCGUAACACAAUGUAAAUAGCAACCUAACUGAAAUACUGAGGUAAACUGAGUUAGGCAACACCAUUGCUAAGUACCUAUUUUGUAUUUUGUUUUCAAGUUUUUGCUGGAUAAUGUCAUCUGUAUCGUCGGAGGAUCAUUUUGGAGUCUUUUCUUGUGAUUGCCGUCGUAACGGUGGUAACAUCAACAGCUGCCAUUUCCUCUGGACUGUACCACUGCUGCUGCUCUCACUAACACAGAAAGAGUGAUGCUUUGAGGAGGAGGAAAAAGGAGAGUCUGUUCUUUAAGCAAAAAACAUGGAUGCUGACUAUGAAGGGCAGAAUAAUCAUCCAGCCAACAGACUCUUUUUCAGCAUUUGCUGUCCACUUUGUUGGAAUGCAGAAUUGGCACAAGUUAGGAGACUGAAGCACCGCCUCUCACUUUGUUUGCUGCCACAUGGAAUGCGGCUGUCACUCCAUGGACCAAGCAAUAGGACUUUAAUCAGCAAGGUAUAUAAGAAAUGUGCACCCUUCUAUACAUUCAAGAUUUUA